GGCUAUGUAGCUCAGUUGGUUAGAGCACACGCUUGAUAAGCGUGGGGUCACAAGUUCA
rnacentral:tRNA from 1 species